UACGGAGGGUGCAAGCGUUAAUCGGAAUUACUGGGCGUAAAGGGUGCGUAGGUGGUUGAUUAAGUUAUCUGUAAAAUCCCCGGGCUUAACCUGGGCAGGUCAGAUAAGACUGAUUGACUCGAGUAUGGGAGAGGGUAGUGGAAUUUCCGGUGUAGCGGUGAAAUGCGUAGAGAUCGGAAGGAACACCAGUGGCGAAGGCGGCUACCUGGCCUAAUACUGACACUGAGGCACGAAAGCGUGGGGAGCAAACAGGAUUAGAUACCCUGGUAGUCCACGCUGUAAACGAUGUCAACUAGCUGUUGGUCAUAUUAAUGUGAUUAGUAGCGCAGCAAACGCGAUAAGUUGACCGCCUGGGGAGUACGGUCGCAAGAUUAAA
rnacentral:rRNA from 1 species